UACGGAGGGGGCUAGCGUUGCUCGGAAUCACUGGGCGUAAAGCGCACGUAGGCGGACUCUUAAGUCGGUGGUGAAAUCCUGGAGCUCAACUCCAGAACUGCCUUCGAUACUGGGAGUCUCGAGUCCGGGAGAGGUGAGUGGAACUGCGAGUGUAGAGGUGAAAUUCGUAGAUAUUCGCAAGAACACCAGUGGCGAAGGCGGCUCACUGGCCCGGUACUGACGCUGAGGUGCGAAAGCGUGGGGAGCAAACAGG
rnacentral:rRNA from 1 species